rnacentral:lncRNA from 1 species
CAUAACCCUAGCUAUGAAGAUUUAGCCAAUCAUGAUCAGAAAAUAGAGUAAAAAGCUUAAUUUCAUAAAUUGCAGGUUAAAAAUUACAAUAAAGAGGAAUAAGAUUUCAAAAUCCAAAUUCAAACGACAAGCAAUGUGUUCAACAUCUCCAAACUUGUUUCUCAUUAAUACGUAUGUUACAAAAUUCAACACCUAGUCAGAAAAUACCUAUUCUAGCUGGGUAUUAAUAGGCUCCAACAAUGUUGGAAUUGAAAUUUUAAAACUGAGCUGCCGCAUCAUAACUGACAGCUCGUUUACGAACCGUCAAGAGGGUAAAAUUUUUUGACUGAACCGUCGCUGCUAUCCAGAAUUGAUCUGCACUGUGCUGACCCUGACGACCUCGGUGAUGCUCCAUCACUAGUCUGACGGUCCGUCGCCUGCCAUAUGAUUUUCCAUGAGUUCUGUUUAGUCAUGUCAGACAAAAUAAUGGUCCAUUGCAGAUCCAACGGUCCGUCGGGUGGACCAUUACCUAAUUCUAAAUUGUCCACCUUUUUUCUUCGUGGUGACGUGUGGUGCAGUGGUCUGUCAGGACACCGACGAUCCGUCGGUCUCCCUAUCACAGGGCCCUUUAGCUUAAUGUUCUGAUAUUCAUGCUUUUGAGUUUGAUUCCUGAAAAAAAGCAUAAAACAUUUUAAAUAUCACUAAUAAUUGCUAAGAAAACAUUCAAUUAUCCUUGUUUUGCGAAGAAAUUUUGACUUUUUGAAGAGUCGCUACUUAAUUUUGAAAAGGAAUUAAGAAACCUUUGUAAAAUACUUAGACGAUUCAAAACAGGAAAAUUGUUUAAGUUAGAGAUUCUGAGUAAGCGGUUCCUAUUAACGUUUUAGGAAGGUGUUAGGCACCUAAAACAUCCACUAACUUGCGGUUAUCCGAUCAUGUUUGAAAACAUUCUUUUGAUUAACUUUGGAAAAUCGGUUUGUUGAAAAAGAAAUUGAAUAAGGAAAAGGUUUUUGUGAAAUCAAUUUUUUAGCGACUUAGUUAGGGAUUUAACUAGGUUCGCAAAGACACAAGCAAACAAGUAAACGAAAGGGAAAGGGGGGAGAUGGGAAAGUAGUGAUUUAGGCUUUUAAGCCCAAACCAUCGACCCUGCCCUAAUUUAGUUGGGUUUUCAAUCCAUUUUUUUCACCUGUCCUAAUUCUAUGUUUUUGAGCCUUUAGCUCAAGUCUCACUUUACCUGUAUUAAGUACAACUUUGGCUUCGAGGUCUAAAUGAAUAAAUAAAUAAAUAAAUAAAUUAAUAAAGACGACAAUAAGUAAAUGGACAAAAUGAUAAAUGAGACUUUUGGGUCUCGUAGUGGCUUCAAAGAUGGAAUUUUGAUUUACUUCUUCUUUUGACUCCUUGUAUUCGUUUGCCACGUGAUUGUCUUUUUAGGGAUUUUGAGAUCGGCUCAUGAGGGAUGGGCGUCAAUGGCGCAAAUUGAUAAUGCACCGACGGGAAAGAGGCCGUUUGGACUCAAAGGCAGAUCCAUGCAAAGAAACAAUGAAUGAAUUAAGCCCAUUCUAAAUUUUCAACCAACACACAAAAGAUAUAAAAUGAUAUAUAAAAUAAUUUAAAGAAACAUACAUCAAUCAGGGAGUUUGAAAUUAAUGAAAAAUAAAUUGGCAUCCAUCCAUAGUGGAUGAUCCAAAUUAUCUAUUUUAAGCACUUUGAGAAAUAGAAUGCACAACUUUGAAAUUCACCAGUAGGCUCCUACAUUAUCACACGUUUAUGAAAAAGAAUAACUUAUUUAUAUAUCCAAGAGAAUGAUACUGAAUCAAAAGAAAAUACAAGAAAGUUUAUCAAUUAGUGCAACACUUGGAGAGACGGGUUUCAGAACUAGAUCUCUUCCCGUUAUUUCGACCUAUAAAUUGAGCACAUCGUCUAUAGUCGAUUCAAAGAGAGUUGUGCCACAUAGUUAGGCAAUUCGCAAAGCAACAAACAAUCAUGCCACAACUGAACUAUAAACUUGGGAUGAAAGUGACGCUAUAUAAAUCUAAACUCCUCUGCGACUCAAGCAAACAUAAGCUCUGCUAGUCACAUUUUAGAAAUAGAACAAAGGCACGAGGUGAAGCAGUCUGGAAAUGACGUAACCAUUUGGACAAGAUAUGUAGUCUUAAUAAAAUGACGAGGGAGCUGGCCCUAAUCGGAUUCCAAAAUUAUUUGAUUAGCUUGAAAACUUAAACAAGUCCCCCCCUCAUUUUUAUCAAAUAUUGUAAAAGAACAAGACUUAGAAUAUUGGAAAUCCGCAGGAUUGAUAUUAUGCAAACUUACAGGCCCCUUUCGACAUCUUGAAUCAAAAGGCACCAUGUAAAUUGCGAGUAAAUCAUACAGACACACAGUAAACAUAGAAAGCUCAAAGGUAAAACGAAUUCUCAAAGUUCUUAAUCUAAAUUCCCAAAAAAAUGAACUUUAUAAUUCUACCACAAGGAGCACAUGGCCAGAACUUUAAGAGGAGGUUUUGCUAAUGAUGCUACCAGCUAACAACGUCAAACUAACAAUGUCAACUACUAACAACGAACAAAACCUCCUCGACCCCCUAAAAAAUGAAACCUUUAGUUAUGGAAAUAGCUUUUAAAUGCAAGCAAUACUCAGUAAUAUCACGCGCAAAUGACAAAAUCGAUGCCAAGUUAGAUAUAACAGCAGUCACCCAUUAAACAACUUAAAACAAACACUACUCCAACUUAACCGAAAUCUAACAUUUACUACACUCAGAGAAACCUAUAGCCCUUAAGGCCUCUACAACAGAAAACCCAGCCUCAUUCAUCGACAAACAGAUAACUUCUUCUAUGAGGAAAGAGAAAUAAGGAAGAAAACGAUAAGUUAAAAGGGGCGAGGGUAUGUUUACCUCCUUCGGGGCAGCAAAAUGGGAACCCGAGCUUUCAGUAGAACCGUUACCAUCGAGAGAUGAUGUUGUAGACUUUGGAAUUUCCAGUUGAUCGACCAGCUUCCAAAGAGAAAAAGUGGACGAGAAGAUUUUCACAAAAAAAAACUUUUAUUUUCAGGAGACAAAAUUUUCGAACCCCAAUUUUGGACUCUAGAAUUCUUUGGCUCCCGAAAGAGAAAGAGAGAACCAAAAAAGGAAUUUCACUCUAAUUUCUUGAAACCAUUUCCCAAACCCUAGAAUUCCCCCCCUCCUUUUAUAGAGAAUAAACUAGGGGUUAUUUAGGGCUUCAAAUGAGAAUAAUUUCGGUAUUCUCCCCAAAGGGGAAUUUAAAAUUUGAACUCCCAAAAGUGUUUUCCGCCAGCCAAUUGAACUAAUUUUGGAAUCUUCUUGAUGAAACCCAAAAUUUUCCAACCAAUGGAAUUGAAGGAAUGAAAUUUUUCUCCCCCAACCAAUGAGAAUCGAGCAACUAUGUACGAUUUUGUACCAUUCAUCCUAAAAUUUUCGGCCUCUAGCCGUUUGAGCGGACACCUAUAUAUUUCUAGAGAAUUCUCGAGCUGUUGAUGCCAUACGCUGGGAUGGGUCAUGGUUAUGGGUAGAUUUCAGAUCGUUGGGGGUUGAUAUCGGGUUGUUUGAUAUUGUUGAUGGGUUUGACGGAUUCGGGUGUGAGACGGGUCACGGAUGGAGCAUGGUUUUUGUACGUUGAAUAGGGUAGAAGCCGACUGUAGCUUGGUUAUAUUGGUUUUAAGGUUAUUUAAGGGAAGAGGAGAUGACAUGGGCCGGGUCAGGAGUUAUUGGGUUGAAGAUUGGACUGGCUGAUAUGUUAUUGGUCUUGAUGAGGGAUUGGAGUUGUAUUUGAUUUUGGGCUAGGGAAGCUGAUAUUUAAAUGGGCUGCUGGGGGGUUGUUUUUGGUUGGUUGAAAUUGUGAAUGUUGCCCUAAUUAAAUUUAAUUGGAUUAAAAUAAUACCACUUAGGAAAAGGUAAUUUGGGGAUUAAGAUUAUAAUUUAGGCAACUUAUUUAAACUCUAACCAAAUUGAAUAUCUCAAUUGACUUAGGCAACUUAUUUAAACUCUAACCAAAUUGAAUAUCUCAUCGGUCAAUUGCAUUACAAUUGAGGCCUAUUUGAUUUCAAUUAGAGUCAAAUUUAAUAAAUUGACUAAAUCAAAUAAAAUUCGAUAUGAAUUAACACCUUGUUUAAUCUCGAGCUUCUUGAUUCGAUAAAAUUGAAUAAAUAUUUAUCCAAAUAAAUUAUUUUUGAGAAUAAAUUAUAUUUAAAUCAAGAUUUUGAUCAUUACAUUUAUUUUCAAAGAUUAUCCUUAAUUAAAAUUUGAUAUUGAUGAAAAUGUUCAUUUAAAUGACGUCGUUUAUACAAUCUCGUAUAUGUAAAUACGAAAAUAUAUAAUUAUAUCUUAAAUAAUAAGUUUAGCCCAAAUGCAUAUUUCAAAAUUCAUUUAUUUGGAAAAAAUAAUUGUUGCGAUUUUAUUUGAAAAUCGAAGAAACUCGAGAUUAAUCGUAGUUGUGGAGGGAAAAAAAUUAGGUGUCAACAAUUGCCCCCUCCCUUUGGGUAGGAUGGAUGCAAGUAACCUUGGGCAAAGGGAGGUUGACGUUCCUAAUUUUUGUCCAAACACAAAUCCGUAUCUAAGAGAGAGUGGUUUUUCGCACGAGUUUCGUGGAGUUAUGGCCGAACAUCGGUAUCAGGUUUCCUAUAUAUCUCAGGUUACAUGAGAAUUCAGGACACUUGUAGUUCAUAAAUCUUAAUUGUAAGCAUGAUUUUCAAGAAAAUUCACCAACUAUCACGAUUUUAAAGUUUUUGGUUAAAAUGAGAAGCUGGGGAAUAAAGGGAUUUCGGGAAAGUUGGAAUGCAGUUGAGUUUUCUACACAGAUCCCAGCCUACAUAUCCCCAAGAUUUCAGGGAAUCAGACUGCUUGCAGUUUGACUCAAUCGGUAGAAAAGAUAGUCUUUUAUUUCAGACUAGCUUUGGCUCGGAAUGAGUGACAAGUUGAUCGAGUUGUGGAAAAGAGGCUUGUAACAUCUUAACCAUGAAUGUGGGAUCCUUCACAUUCAUAGUCAAGAACUUACCUGGACAUAAUUUCCAAAACUCUAAGUAUGUUGCCACCCAAAUUUGAAAGAAAGAGAAGGUUACCCUCGACGUGAGUUUAGAAAUAUUUCAAAGGUGAAGCUGAAACCAGAAUAUCUAAAAAUACCCACAUGCCUUCUAAUAGAGGCAUGGUUAGAUGGUGGUGGUGAUCAUCAUUUAGCUCGCGUCUAGAGAGUUUGACAUCCCUCUCUAGACUAUGUCCCGUUUUGCUGCUGAGAAGAGUUCCACGUUGUGCUGUGUCCUUUUAGAGUCGUAUGAACAUAUGGUUUUGGUUUGAGAUUUUCAUCCUCUCGAAUGCUAUCGACAAUAUCUCAAAUGAAAAUCAUUAGUAAUAAGCAUUAUUCACGAAAGAGGUGUGUAGUAUUUUACCAUAUCUCUACGUGAAGUCAUCUCUUCUUGUGCCUGCUUGGAAAGAAAUAACUUGCAAUAACAGACACAACAACCCUCUUGGUUGUUGCAUAAUUAGCUUAUUUAUUGAGAGAAUAUGUUUUCAAAGUGGGGUGACCUUUUUGGACGCCGACGAUACUUUAUGCGGAAUGGUCCCGGCAAUCGAUUAGCCCUGUAUUGAUGAGGAAACCCUUUUUGGUUGCCUAUAUCACUUGUUAUAUGUGGAAUAACAACCUCUCCGGUUAUAGCCGAUGAUCGAUUUAUAAAUUUUCUUUAAAUUAUCAACCUUUGGAUAAUCUUGUACAUUAUUUGAUAUUGGAUACGAGGCGACUUACAGAUAUCCUUUGAAUUUCUAGCUUUUAGGUAAUCCUGCACAUUAUUCGACUUUGGAUAAGAGAUGGCUUACAGAUAUCCCUCCAAUCACUAGCUUUCAGGGGUUCCUGCACAUCAUCUGACCUUGGAUACAAUAUGCCUUAUAGACAAUCUCUCAAAUUAUUUGUCUUUGGGUAAUCCUACACAUAAUCGAUCUUGGAUAUGAUGCAUCUUAUAGAGAACCCUUGGACGUAUCAAUUUGAUAAUCUUGCAUAUUCUUCGAUAAGGCUUUAGUUGCGACUUAUGGAUAACCUUUGAACUAUCAAUUUUUGGGCGAUCUUGCACACUAUUCGGUUAGGAUGUUAUGGUGACUUACGGAUGACCUACAGGCUAUCAACUCAUAGGUGAUCUUGCACACUAUCAUAUUUCAAAUAAUAUUACUUAUAGAUGACCCUCAAAUUGUCAAUUUCUAGGAAAUCUUACAUAUCAUUCAUCCUUAGAUACCGACUUAGAGGCGUCCCUUCAAAUUGUGUGCUCUUGAUGCAUCUGAUUAAUAAAAUAAUGAGAUAUCCUCGAUGGCAGCGUUUAUGUCUUGUGUGUCAACAAAUAUAAAAUAAUAAUGAUAUCCUUGAUGCCAGUAUUGUGUCUAGCGCAUCAACAUAUAUUGAAUGAUGAUGAUAUCCUCAACACCAGCAUUAUGUCUUGCGUGUCAAUAGAUAUAUUGAAUGCUGAUGAUAUCCUCGAUGCCAGCAUUGUUUCUACCAUGUCAAAAGAUAUUGAGUGAUGAUGAUAUCCUCAACGUCAGCAUUGUGUCUUGCUUGUCAACAGAUAUAUUGAAUGCUGAUGAUAUCCUCGAUGCCGGCAUUGUGUCUAGCGCGUCAACAGAUAUUGAAUGUUGAUGAUAUCCUCGACACCAGUAUUGUGUCUUACGUGUCAACAGAUAUAAAAUGACCCUCUCGGCAAAUGAUAUAAAUGACCCUUUUGGCAAUGAUAUGAAAUGGCCCUCUUGACAAUAAUAUGCAAUGGCCCUCUUGGCAAUAAUAUGCAAUGGCCCUCUUUGAAAUGAUAUGUAAUGACUCUUGUGGCAAUGAUAUGCAAUGGCCCUUAGGGCAAUGAUAUAUAAUGACCCUUGCAGCAAUGAUAUGCAAUGGCCCUUGCGGCAAUGAUAUGUAAUGGCCCUUGCGGAAAAUUUUAAAAUAAUUUUACCUAACUUCAUUUGUCAGCGUCUUACUUUCUACAUGUACCUAUACUCAAGAUAGACGAUUAGUAGACACAAAGUCGCUUGUACUAGCGACUAUUUUUAGGAAAUUUCUAAAUACAAUGUUUGUGAAGAAGACAAGGCGCUUUUGUUUGUCGCCCAUGAUCUCAAGAAAUGAGAUGGACAAAUCAAAAAGUCCUUAAUAAAUGGGUAUUAAACCUAUUUUUAAGGCUACCCUAAAAUACCGUUCUUGGACAUUAAUGCUCUGUUGUGGCUCCCAAUUUGCUCAAGAUUUUUGAAAGAGACCCUCACUUUUGUGUAUUGAUCCCUGCAUCCACAGAAAAAUGAUUAGUUUGAAUGAAAUUACUCCGUGUUGACCUUCUUUGAUCCUUGAUUUGCUGCUUGUCAUCUCUUGGACAUUCCGCUAUAUCGGGACUUCCAUCCUGACACUCCAUCUCAAGUGAUGUCUUGGCAAGUACUAAAUAAGUGAGUUGUAAGAUUUUUUGAAAAUAGUCUUAAUUUUUAUAACAUAAUUUCGAAAGCUUCUGUAAAACUUUAGAAAAUCUCUGCCAGUCAUGUCAUGUACUAGCUCAACGACCAUCUUUCUCUUGAUUCUGACAAUAUCUAACAUUUGUUGGAGGAUUGCUAGGGAUUCAGCUUUGUCGAGGCUCUCCACCAGAAGUUUUAUCAAAGACGGGGAUUCAGUGUUCCUAGACUUUAUUGCAGGUGGUGAUUCUCAAAUCUCAACUUCGACCUUUAGUGCUGGGGAAUUUAAAAUAUAUUCCAUUAUUUGAUUGAAAUUUUAAGGCCUCCCUCAAAAUUUCUGCCCAGUUUAAAGUAGUCUGAGAUGAUAUCAUCUUGAGUGGAUCUGAAGUCUUUGCUAAUCUUCAUUCUCUUUGUUGGAUGUUGAUUUUCUCUUGUGAAUUUUUGAGAUUCCUUCUCAAAAAUUCUGCCCUAGUUUCUAUUUCCUAGGGUUAUAUGACCGAGCCGUUGGGGUGCCUACGUAUCCCUUUCUUGGGAAUUCAGGUCAUCACGUAGUUCAUAUAUAAAGGAAAAGGAUAAAUUUUCCUAAGGGUUUGACCGAAGCCGACAUAGGCCGCCUACAUAUCCUUUUUUGGGAAUUCAGGUCAAACAUAGUUCGUACAUAAAGGGAAGGAAUUGAUUUUCCUAAGGGGUUGACCGAAGUCGACAUAGGCUACCUACUUAUCCCUUUCUUGGUAAUUCAGGUCAAACGUAGUUUGUACAUAAAGGGAAAUAAUAGAUUUUCCUAAGGGGUUGACCAAAGCCGACAUAGGCCGCCUACAUAUCCCGCUCUUGGGGAUUCAGGUCAAACAUAGUUCGUACAUAAUGGAAAAGGAUUCUAGGCAAUUACACAUCAUAAAAUUGAUACUAUUAUAAAGGCGAUUACAAAUAAAUCAAGAAACAAAAACUAUAACAUCUUUCAAGCACACUAUCUUUUUACCACAUCAGAAUUGAUUGGUUUGGUCCACUCUUGACCAUCCAUCUCAGGUAGGAUUAAGGCUCCUUCAGGUUGGGCUUCUUUUGAUUUUCAUAUUCCUCUGUAUUUACUACUAACUGCUCCUUAUCAUUUUUUUCUGUUCAUCAUUAUUUCCUUCGCUCUGUUCGGCUAACCCUCGACAUGACAUGACAUUGAUAGUUUUUUUAAUUAUUGUUACCAAAAUAAGCCAUGCUAGAUAAUCAUAUUUUAAAAAUAACUUCUUAAAUAAAGGGAGGCCUUUUGGAAAAUAAACAAAAACUAUGGCUUAGGACCCACACAAAUGUGGGCCCAUGCCUUUUUGAGAGUUGUAAAAUGCGAAACAAAAAUUUGAGACAUAAAAGGGUGGAUCACGAGGCCUCCUCUAGAUCAUCACCGAUUUUAAAAACUAUUGGUAAUUACCCUUUCAUCUACCGCGACGGGCGAUGAAUUAGGAGCGGAGUGGAAGUCCAAUUUUGUGAAGCUUCUACUGGUGCAACCUUCUUCAUCCCAUCGGACUUUGGGAAAUCAUCUGGUAGAGCAUUGGAUCCUGUAAAUAGAUCUCCUAUCCCAUCCCAAGACCAUCAUCAUUUGAUAUCUCAUGUAUGGGAAAUGACUGGUAUAAGAGCGGCAAGGGCCUAAACAGACUCUUCUUUGAAUUAUCUUCGAUCUCAUCUUCCUUUCUUGGUUGGUACUCUAUUCCUUGCUUCAAAGCUUUUUCUGGGACCAUAACAGGCUUGAUAAUUCUUUCCAAAUCCUUACUUAAGGCGGCCACAACUUCCUCUAUCUUCUCUACCUCUUCUGUUCCUUUGACUUCUUCCGAAUCUACCUUAGUGAUGGCCUUGCUAGACAUCCAUUCACCCUCUAUUUCAAUUAUGUUAAUUAUAGGUCCUCCAUGGUUAGGCAAUGGAUUACUGUUAACAUUUGGUGUCGGUGACUGAACCGUGAUGUCCUUCUGAUCGAUCAAAUCUUGGAUCUUAUGUUUCAAGUUAAUACAAUCCUCUGUACUAUGCCCCGCUGCUCCUGAAUGAUAGGCAUAAUUUUGAUCGGGAUAGUAAAACCGAGAGUUGGGAUUGAUAGGCUUUGGCUGGAUCUAUUGCAAAUAACCAGCUUUCAUUAAUCUUUUGAAAGCUGGGUAGGACUUUCAGCUGGCGGCGUGUAGUUUUGGGGAGGUUUAUUUUCAAGGUUUGGACGUGGAGGGUUAUAAUGGUUCUGAUUUACAUGAGGAGGUACUUGAUGAUAAUUUGGAGAUGUUUGGACGUUUAUUUGGUUAUUUGGAAAAGUAGCUUGAGUAUGAGGCUGAUAAUUUGGCUGUGGAAUUUGGUACUGAGGUAAAUAUUUGGAAUUGGAGCUUGAUAUUGGGGAUGGGCGUAGAAUACAGGCUGAAAAUUAGGUGACGGUGGUAAGGAAAUAAUAUUCCUAGGCUUGAAUUUCCUCUUUAAUUUAUUUACAAAAUUAGUAGAGACCGCAGUCACAUCCUCUUUUUUCUUGUUUGAGAAUGCAGAAGAUUCCGAUGAUGUUGGGGUUUUUGUAAUUUUUCCUGUUCGGAUGCCUUCCUCUAAUGAUUCCCCAAUCUUUACUAAGUUUGCAAAAGUUUCUCGGACCGUGGACACAAACCUGGUAUAAUAUUCUCCUUCCUAUGCACGAGCGAAAACUGAUACCAUUUCUUCCUCAAACAUGGGAGGUUGUACUUUAGCAGCCUCUUUUCUCCAAUGAAAGGCGUAGUCUUGAAAACACUCAUUAUUCUUCUGUUUGAUCCUAUCUAGUGAGUAUCGGUCAGGGACCAUCUCAAUGUUAAAUGCAAACCUGUCAAGGAAACCCUUGGCCAAUGAUUUCCAACCAGUCCAUCUUUUCAGUUCCUGAGACAUGAACCACUCUAAGGCUUCGUCACUUAAACUUCGGCUAAACAGACGUAUCAAUAACGCCUCAUUUUUCCCUACCCCCACCAUUUAUCACAAUACCUUCUCAGAUGGGCCAUUGGAUUUCCGGUGCCAUCAAACACCUCAAAUUUAGGAACCUUAUACCCUUUUGGUAGAUCUAUUCCAGGGUGAACACAUAAAUCAUCAUACCCUAAACCGUCGUGGUCCCUCACUCCAUGUGAUUCUUCGAUCCUCAUGAUCUUUUCAUUCAUAGCUAGCAACUUCAUUUCAUGUUCAGUCCUCCACUCUUUCUCCUUCUCCUCAUAAUGGUCCAUCUCGAAAUUAGGAAGAGGAUUAUAGAUAUUAGGGAAUAUAAUGGCAUGAAGAGGAUUUGUAAGGGAAUCUUUAUUUUGAGGAUGAAAUGAAGUGGGUUGGUAGGUAGGGCGGACGUUAUGGAAAUUAAAAAGGUUUUGUAGAAUUUGAGAGUGGUUUGGAGAUGGGUUUUGUGGGGUUAGAGAUGGAUUUUGUGGAUGGUAGGCAUCUGGGUUAUUUUCGCGAUUAGUGUUUUGGACAAAUGGAGGAGCGGAGACAGACGAUAUGUUAUUUGACUGAUUCCCGAGAAUCGGUGUACUGAGGGGAAGAAUUUAGAGUGGAGUGGAGUGUCCUCCUGGAGCGGGAGCAUUGACGGUGAUGGCCAGGUUAGCCAAAUAUCGAGUGCGAUUUAUUUCCUCCUGAAGCAUUUCUAAUUUUCUUGCGAGUUCCGCAAUUAUCUUACUCUGUUCCACUAUUACAUUGUCCCUGAUGGUCAAUGCGUUUUCUUCAUAAUUUUUAGUCAUUAUUUAAUGACGAUCAGAGGAUAGAAUUUUAUGCGCUUUUGACCGGGUGAAGUAGGGAUGUUCUACCAGCUUAUAUCAACACGGAGUAGUUUCUAUUAUCUGUUAAGUAAAACAACUCAAAGGCAGAUGCAUUAGUUUCCGUAUGUGAUAAGUAAUGCAAAAUAUUUUGACAAGGAAUAACCACGUAGAGUUGUUUGACUCAUAGCCAAAUUCAUCCAUAGGAGCACAACGGAUAAACUUUCCUUUGAUCCAAACAAACACACAUAAGCACAUAAGACAAUUAUAUUACACAAAAUAUUAUGAUAAUACGUAUCCUAACUGGGGUGACCCUUUUUUGAGUCAAGGGUUCAGGCCAAACGAUUUUUGAAGAAAAUAUAUGCUUCCCUAAAGUCAAUCCAUUAUCCUCCAACUUAUAUAGACACGAAAAGGGCAUAAAUACUUACAAAUGAUAACAAAAAAGGGAUACAAUCUUUAGGGAAAAAGGAAAAUAAUAUGAAAGAAGAUAAGUUCCCACGUAGGGGAUAGAAAAUACUAAUUCCUGAGUGCUUCGUCUAUCAGCCUUCGCCUUCUCAGCUUCAUCCGUUUCUUAUACUGGUGAAAUCUGUAAACUGUGCCUUAGAUGCAACCUCCCAAAUCGAUCAAUUUCUUGCUUAACUUGCUUCAAUUCUUCUUACAAAAGUAAGCAAAUCAAGAUUUUCCUGACCCCCAAAGGAUAAUGGAUUGAAUUUAGACAAGCAUGUAUUGUUUUUCCAACACAUAAAUAUGAUUUUUUUGUAAUUGACAUGGGGUCAAUAGACGCAAGGCAGGUUUUCUAAUGGGCCCAACACCCCGCUCGGGUAUUGGGUUGUGCUAGGCUCAUGCCUAAAAUAGGGUUUUGGUUUCGUUCUAUCCUCGGUGUCUAAAGUGGGUUUGAACACUGGUUCUCAAGCAGACAACUUGAGUUUGAAAAUACGAACAACGUCAGAUGACUCAUGUACUAAUAAGCCAUUCAUAUUUCUAACAUAUUUUAAAAUUGAACAAUAGGGGUCGGGAUAUCCGCGAAACCCCAAAACAGUUUAAAUAAUGUAGGAAUAUGCCAUAAGAUGCGAUAAUUAAACUUUAUAGAAUCGAAACAUAUAAAUACAUAAACAGUUAAUCAAAAGACGAAAUCAAACAUUUGGUUAGAACCUAGUUAAAAAUUGCUAGCAGAGUCGCCAUUUCUGUUUUUCGGAGAAAUUUUGACUUUUUGAAGAGUCACCACUUAAUUUUGAAAAGGAAUUAAGAAACCUUUGUAAAAUACUUUGAAGAUUCAAAACAGAAAAAUCGUUUAAGUUAGAGAUUCUGAGUAAGUGGUUCCUAUUAAGGUUUUAGAAAGGUGUUAGGCACCUAAAACAUCCACUAACUUGCGGUUAUCCGAUCUAUUUGAAAACAUUCUUUUGAUUAACUUUGGAAAAUUGGUUUGUUGAAUAUGAAAUUGAUUAAGGAAAUAUUUUUUGCGAAAUCAAUUUUUAGCGACUUCGUUAGAGAUUUAACUAGGUUUGCAAAGAGACAAGCAAACAAGUAAACGAAAGGGAAAGGGGGAAAACGGGAAAGUAGUGAUUUAGGCUUUUAAGCCCAAACCAUCGACCCUAUCCUAAUCUAGUUGGGUUUUCAACCCAUUUUUUUCACCUGUCCUAAUUCUAUAUUUUUGAGCAUUUAGCUCGAGUCUCACUUCACCUGUAUUAAGUACAACUUUGGAUUCGAGGCCUAAAUGAAUAAAUUAAUCAAUUAAUUAAUUAAUAAAGAUGACAAUGAUUAAAUGGACAAAAUGGUAAAUGAGACUUUUGGAUCUCGUAGCGGCUUCAAAGAUGGAACUUUGAUCUACUUCUUCUUUCGGCUCCUUGUAUUCGUUUUCCAUGUGAUUGUCUUUUUAGGGAUUUUGAGAUUGGCUCAUGAGGGAUGGGCCUCAAUGGCCCAAAUUGAUAAUGCACCGAUGGAAAAGAGUCCGUUUGGACUCAAAGGCAGAUCCAUGCAAAGAAACAAUGAAUGAAUUAAGCCCAUUCUAAAUUUUCAACCAACACACAAAAGAUAUAAAAUGAUAUAUAAAAUAAUUUAAAGAAUCAUACAUCAAUCAGCGAGUUUGAAAUUAAUGAAAAAUAAAUUGGCAUCCAUCCAUAGUGGAUGAUCUAAAUUAUCCAUUUUAAGCACUUUGAGAAAUAGAAUGCACAACUUUGAAAUUCACCAGUAGGCUCCUACAUAAUCACGCGUUUAUGAAAAAGAAUCACUUAUUUAUAUAUUCAAGAGAAUGAUACUGAAUCAAAAGAAAAUAAGAGAAAGUUUAUCAAUUAGUUCAACACUUGGAGAGACGGGUUUCGGAACUCGAUCUCUUCUCGUUAUUUCGGCCUACAAAUUGAGCACAUCGUCUACAGUAGAUUCAAAGCGAGUUGUGCCAUCAUAGAUAGGCAAUUCGCGAAGCAACAAAAAAUCAUUCCACAACUGAACUAUAAACUUGGGAUGAAAGUGAUGUUUUAUCAAUCUAAACUCCUCUGCGACUUAAGUAAACAUAAGCUCUGCUAGUCGCAUUUUAGAAAUAGAACAAAGGCAGAAGGUGAAGCAGUCUGGCAAUGACAUAACCAUUUGGACAAGAUAUGUAGUCUUAAUAAAAUGACGAGGGAGCAGGGCCUUAUUGGAUUCCAAAAUUAUUUGAUCAGCUUGAAAACUUAAACAAGUCCCUCCCUCCUUUUUAUCGAAUAAUGUAAAAGAACAAACUUAGGAUAUUGGAAAUCCUCAGGAUUGAUAUUAUGCAAACUUACAGGCCCCUUUCGACAUCGUGAAUCAAAAGGCAUCAUGUAAGUUGCGAGUAAAUCAUACAGACACACAGUAAACAUAAAAAGCUCAAAGGUAAAAUGAAUUCUCAAAGUUCUCAAUCUAAAUUCCCAGAAAAACGAACUUUAUAAUUCUACCACAAGGAGCACAUGGCCAGAACUUCAAGAGGAGGUUUCGCUAAUGAUGCUACCAGCUAACAACGUCAACUACUAACAACGAACAAAACCUCCUCAACCCCCACAAAUAUGAAACCUUUAGUUAUGGAAAUAGCUUUCAAACACAGUCAAUACUCAGCAAUAUCACGCGCAAAUGACAAAAUCGAUGUCAAGAUAGAUAUAACAGUAGUAACCCAUUAAAUAACUUAAAACAAACACUACCCCAACUUAACCGAAAUUCAACAUUUACUACACUCAGAGAAACCUAUAGAUCUUAAGGCCUCUACAACAGACAACCCAUCCUCAUUCAUCGACAAACAGAUAACUACUUCUACGAGGAAAGA